GGUUUGUAUAGUGUGUGUAUAUAAUGCAGUGUGUUUGUGUAGUGUGCAUUAUAUAAACACACUGCAUUAUAUACACACACUAUACAAAC